rnacentral:lncRNA from 1 species
UUUGUCUUGUUCAAUUAAUAAAGUCAUGCUUUAGUCAUGACUGAUGAGCUUCUAGUCAGGUACAACUGCCUUAAAGCAAAUCUUCUCUUUCGGUAAGAUAGAUAGAAUGAUUGUUCUUUUUUCAUGUUCUUCUUUUAGCAAAUUUCAGACACUUUAAAACUUAAUUACCAGAUCCAUAAUCUUUCUAUUUUUGUGUAUCAUUAGUUACUUCAGUCUCUUUUCACAUCUUUUGUUGACAUUCAUCGGUGAGAUCUUAUUUACCAAGGAACUAAUUAAUUUCCUCUCGCCAUCAACCAUGAGGAAAUUAUGAGAAUAGAAGGAAGGGUAUGUAUGAGUUCAGCACAAUGCUAUUUCAUUAAGCAAAAUGACUUCAUAUGUAAUGUGUUAUGUUUUCUUCCCAAUAACAAAGUGUCUAAUCUUCUUUGUCCAAAUUACCUCUUCCUGUUAUUUCUUUUAAAAAUUUCACUGUUUGAUGUUAUUGGUUUUUUUCUUUGAUUAAUUAGCUCGGACCGAUUUCAAGUUAGAUACGAUACUAAUAGGGCUACACACAAUUGAUACUUUUGGUUCUNNNN